AUACGGAGGUUGCAAGCGUUACUCGGAAUCACUGGGCGUAAAGCGCGCGCGGGCGGCUAUUUAAGUUGGAUGUGAAAGCCUACGGCUCAACCGUAGAACUGCAUCCAAAACUAUUUAGCUAGAGUGUGGGAGAGGAAGAUGGAAUUAGUUGUGUAGGGGUAAAAUCCGUAGAGAUAACUAGGAAUCCCAAAAGCGAAGGCAAUCUUCUGGAACACUACUGACGCUGAGGCGCGAAAGCGUGGGGAGCAAACAGGAUUAGAAACCCUAGUCCUCC
rnacentral:rRNA from 1 species